ACGUAGGGUGCAAGCGUUAUCCGGAAUUAUUGGGCGUAAAGAGCUCGUAGGCGGUUUGUCGCGUCUGUCGUGAAAGUCCGGGGCUCAACUCCGGAUCUGCGGUGGGUACGGGCAGACUAGAGUGAUGUAGGGGAGACUGGAAUUCCUGGUGUAGCGGUGGAAUGCGCAGAUAUCAGGAGGAACACCGAUGGCGAAGGCAGGUCUCUGGGCAUUAACUGACGCUGAGGAGCGAAAGCAUGGGGAGCGAACAG
rnacentral:rRNA from 1 species